rfam:Heligmosomoides polygyrus genome assembly, scaffold: HPBE_contig0000447
GCGCUGGUGGUGUAAUGCGUAGCAUCGCUGCCCAUAAAGCAGAAGGUGCGGGUUCGAGUCCCACCUGGUGCA